rnacentral:rRNA from 1 species
GAGAAAAGGGCGGAGAAAGGCGGGGAAGACGGCAAGUCCUACAUACACAUUAUGAAAUGGGCUACACACGUACUACAAUGGGAUGGACAGAGGGAAGCGAAGGCGCGAGCCGGAGCGGACCCCACAAACCAUCCCCCAGUUCGGAUUGCAGGCUGCAACCCGCCUGCAUGAAGUCGGAAUCGCUAGUAAUCGCAGGUCAGCGUACUGCGGUGAAUACGUUCCCGGGCCUUGUACACACCGCCCGUCACACCACGGAAGUCAUUCACGCCCAAAGCCGGUGGGCCAACCGUAAGGAGGCAGCCGUCUAAGGCGGGGGCGAUGUUUUGUGAAGUCGUAACAAGGUAGCCG